GGCUUGCCUCCUCAUCUUGGGGAGUCUCGAAUCGAUAGUACUCCUAUAAGAUAGAAUCGAAGCAUGUACUAAUCAGUAGAAUACAAAUAUAUCAUAAAUUUAAAAAUUAAAUAUUUUUAACUUAUCGAAAAUAUCUUCCAAACUACAUCACGAGUUUUAGACAACCAGCUAGAGAACUCGUUCGCCGGCCCUGGCAUCA
rnacentral:lncRNA from 1 species